CGGAUCUUUCUCUCGUGUGUCUCCUUGAAUCGACCGAAAAGUAAAAAUUACUGCUAUGAAAUGAAUAGCACUGGAAACAAUAAGAUUCAAUAACGCAGUUAGCCUGAAAUGAAAAUUUUUUUAUUCCGGCUUGGUUUUUUGCCAACUUCAUCGUCAUGUCCUUGAGGAUGUUACUGCUCCCGAGACUCCUCUGUCUGUUUGGUGUUUCCAUGCAACAGGGAUAGAGCGAUUGUAAACUUGCGCAGCCCAUCUUGGGAAGAUUUUUACCUUUAAACUGAACGCCUGGCUUUAGAAUGGAAGUGACUAUUCAUUUUUUUAAUGCACCCUUUUGGAAAUUCUAGCUGCUUGUGUACCAACACGCCACAUAAAAAGAACAUUCCCGUGCCAACAAUUAUUUUAUUUUCCCGUUUGUGUUAUUUUGGAAUAAUGUUUUAGCCGAAAACCAUGUUGCAAACUGACACUGACGUCAUUGUUUCCCUUCGUCACGGCUAUGCCGUAUAGUUUACGUAAUUAACUUUAGAAGCAUAUCCUGUAUCAACCAUUUUUGCUUUCAUUUGACGUCAUUACUUGACUUGACGUCACAUUUAUUUCAACCAAUACAGCGCGAAAGAAAAACUAUUGCACGGGGAAUCUUACAAUAAGACUCUUUCGCAACAAUGAUUCCGGUCACGCCUGUAGCUAAAUGUGCUGCAGUGUUGGACGUUGACUUAGGUUGACCUAUUUAGGGUUCAUCUUACUAUCUCACGAAACCAUCGUCGACGAAAAUGACUUGCUACAAAUGUUUUCCUUUGGAGUUUUCCACUUUCUACUUAAACAAAGUAUAGGUGGUUGUUGUUUUUAGAAAGGGCAGUAAGCCGAUUAUUGACAAACAAUAAUACCAGCACAUUUCGCACACAAAACAGAAUAGUAGAUCGCCUAAUCUAAUCGCCUUCAGCACGUUCAACUUUGCAAGAUCCUCGCUAGACAAUCGAUGUUGCCCUAGGUAGAUGACCCAUUUUAGCAAUGGGAUAUGAUGUGCUCAGCUCAGUGGUUGUUUCAAGAGAAUCAACUGUCUAUCAGCUAUAGCCAUGUUAAUCGUUUCUUGGCUAUAUUUCUUUGUUGUUAAGGUAUAUCGACUAUGAUUCUUCAUGCCAAUCGCAUGUAGAAAUGUUGGAUUACCCCUUGGCGCUUAACCUGGAAAAAUUAAGGCUGCAAUCAUUGCGUGUGCCCCCCAAAAAAUGACACAACAUGGUCCCAGUUAAUCCUUGCAGGUCCCAUCUAAUUGUUUGUAUAGCAAACUUGCAAGGCAAAAGUUUUUUUGUCUCUAUGACUUUGUGCUGGUAAAUCAAUGUUUGUUAUGAAACAAAAAACAUGUUCUGUUUAGGGAUUGAACGGCCAUUACUUGCUGGGUAUGCUACCUGUAUUCGUUCGAUGUAAAAGAAUCAUAACAGAAACAUGUGUUAAAGCAAACAAACAAAUAAAAAACUCAAGGGCGAGGCUAAAAAUGCUGUAACUUGGAUCGUCGCCAUAUAUGCAAAAUUGCGUUGCAAAAAAAGCAAGGCGAAUAACAAAAAAGAUAGAUACACUCUUCUUUCAGUCUCCGGUAGACUACGUGUCAGCAACCAUCCAACUCUUUCUCAGAACAAGAAAUACCUUUGAAAACAAAGGACAAUAUCUUGAAACAAAAAAACAAGUCACGCUUCUCUGCGAAACGGAAAUAUUUUCACCGAAGCCGCAGGCAAAUUCAAACUGCUUUUUUCCAUGCUUAAUCCUGUAGUAUGCACGCAGGUGGAAAUUACUGUAAAUACGCUGCCAUAGAGAAUUUAAGUUUCUGUAUCUUUUUUUGGCUGAUACUGCACUUUCUCUAAGGACAGGACUCAUCGAAAAUUCCAUGCCAGUCCAGAAUGUCCAUGCCUCGACAAGUCUAUGUCUCAAAUUUGUUUGCUUAUUGAUGGCGUGCAACAGGAAACCAGUGUUCGAGAUAACAGGCGAAUGGGAUACCUAUCUGUAACCGAAUGUACGCAUGCAAUUUUUUUUUUCUAUUCUGUAAUUGAAAUUUCUAAAGCUUUGCCUGUUUGUCCGGAAUUACUUUAUCCGGAUUCUUUCGCGCCUUAGUCUCGAGAAACAAUACAAUAAACAUUUAUUAUUGA